AAUCAACGCUGGCGGCGCGCUUAACACAUGCAAGUCGAACGAGAAAGGGGGGCAACCCCUGAGUAAAGUGGCGCACGGGUGAGUAACACGUGGGUAAUCUGCCUCUGGGUGGGGAAUAACUCUGGGAAACCGGAGCUAAUACCGCAUAAGCUCGAAAGAGGAAAGGUGAAAAUCGCCGAGAGAGGAGCCCGCGGUCGAUUAGCCUGUUGGUGGGGUAAAGGCUCACCAAAGCUGAGAUCGAUAGCCGGCCUGAGAGGGCACACGGCCACACUGGCACUGAAACACGGGCCAGACUCCUACGGGAGGCAGCAGUGGGGAAUCUUGCACAAUGGGGGAAACCCUGAUGCAGCGACGCCGCGUGAGCGAUGAAGCCCUUCGGGGUGUAAAGCUCUUUCGGCAGGGACGAUAAUGACGGUACCUGAAGAAGAAGCUGCGGCUAACUACGUGC
rnacentral:rRNA from 1 species